GGUUGGUACCAGCACUAACUCAAGUAAUACCUUCUGAAUAUUAUGAUUCCUGCUUUGCAAGAUCCUUCUUCCAAGUUCUCAGAUCACGUCAGGUAUUUCUGGAAAUCAGAAGACAGUUCCCAUAAAACCUGGAAAUUGGGAAAAUAUAGAGCCUAGAGAAUAUGAUACACAAUAUCACUAUAAUAUUUUAAAGCAAGCAAAAUAUGGAUAAAGUGAACACUGACAACAGAAUUGAAUGGAGAAUGAGCUCAGGACAUAUAGCAGAGUGAUAGUCAGCCCUGAGAAGAAAAGCUAUCAAAGGAACUGUUGGGCUCUAGAUCUUCUGGAGAAACCUUGAAACAUUUGACUCUCUGCUCCAAUUCACAUCCUGCUCAGUCCACUGCUGUUGAGGUCAAAACUGUCUUGGUUAACAAGGACCAUAGCCAAAUGGCCCUGUCCUCUGCCUCUCUAUCU